rnacentral:rRNA from 1 species
ACGCUCGACACCUACGGGAAGCAGCAGUGGGGAAUAUUGCACAAUGGGGGAAACCCUGAUGCAGCAACGCCGCGUGAGUGAAGAAGUAUUUCGGUAUGUAAAGCUCUAUCAGCAGGGAAGAUAAAUGACGGUACCUGACUAAGAAGCUCCGGCUAAAUACGUGCCAGCAGUCGCGGUAAUCUGAGCGGGCUGGCAAGGC